UCUCGUGAUGAAGACUGUUCAGUUCUGCUGCUGAAGGGGGAGUGAUGAAACCUUUUAGUGCUGAGGAA
rfam:Cavia porcellus supercont2_165 genomic scaffold, whole genome shotgun sequence.